UACGUAGGGUGCAAGCGUUGUCCGGAAUCAUUGGGCGUAAAGAGCUCGUAGGCGGUCUGUCGCGUCUGCUGUGAAAACCUGGGGCUUAACCCUGGGCUUGCAGUGGGUACGGGCAGACUAGAGUGCGGUAGGGGAGACUGGAAUUCCUGGUGUAGCGGUGAAAUGCGCAGAUAUCAGGAGGAACACCGGUGGCGAAGGCGGGUCUCUGGGCCGUAACUGACGCUGGGGAGCGAAAGCAUGGGUAGCGAACAGG
rnacentral:rRNA from 1 species